CUCUUCCUCCUGUCCUCCAAGGUCACACCCUAUGCCUUCUACCUCUAUAUGGGCUUAUGCAGGAUACAUGUCUGGGAUGCUGGUCCCAGUGGGUGUAGGCAUUGCUGGAGCCCUUUUCAUCCUGGGAGCACUUUAUAGCAUCAAGAUCAUGAACCGCCGUCGCAGAAAUGGCUUUAAAAGACAUAAGCGAAAGCAGAGAGAAUUCAACAGCAUGCAAGACCGGGUGAUGCUUUUAGCAGACAGCUCUGAAGAUGAAUUUUGAAUCCGGCUGCAAAGCUACAUCAUGUUCUCCAGUGACUUACUUUGUUUGCAAAGGGAGGUUUGCAAGUUUUAAAAAAGGUCUUUCUGCUGCAUCCCAGCGGCCUGCCCCUGUUGUGCGUUCACAUGGCUGUGUUGCUUUACACAACCGGUCCCCAAAAGGAGAAACACACAUGGCCAAACACAUCCCACUCACUGCAUGUUGCAGCCUUUAAAAAAAAACAACCACCAUGCAUUUGUGCAACUUCAUUUCCAUUGCACUGCAUGUUUUUAAGGAUGAAACUAACAAAGACUCCACUAAGAGUGGGGGACAAGGCAGGCUGAAUGAUAAUAAUGGUCCUAAAGUUUUAAUUUUCAUUUUGAUGGUAGCAGUCAAAAUGUCAUCCUUUCCCAUAUUGUCUUGGGGAGGAGGAUUUUUUUAACCCAAAUAAUGCCUGUCAAUCUCCCACUAGGAUGCCUCUUCUAAGAUGUGGGAUUUCCUGAGCUGAAGUUCAUGGUUUUGAAAAUAAUUGGCUGUGUUUAAUUAACAAAGGGGUCAUCUAGAAGCAGUCCACCUCAUAAACAGGAUAGUAACUAUGUAGGUAGAAUACAAUGAACAAGCACGUCAUGUAUAUAUAGUGUAUUAUGCUUAGGGCCAAACUAGAUAGUUACAUACCCAAGAGACAUGUGCUUUGUUUUGUUCAUUGUGAAACAAGUGGGAGUGGAAGAACAGUGGGGAGAGGGAAGGAGAGUGCUUUCAUGAGCUCAGUGGGGGACCCAUAAAGAUCAAAGUACUAAGCAAUUGUGACAUAUGCAUGGCAUACUUCACAUGACUAUUUACUCAGCUCCCACAGCUAAAAGCCUCUCUACUGUCUGCAAUGUUCCCAAAUUGAUAUGGAAGUGGUCUAUGUACAUUUGAUCUGGGAGAGAUCAUUACUUGGUGCUGUAGUCAUCAAAUGAUGGCAAUGAGCCAGUGGUAAAUGCAGGUAAAUGUGUGACAGUGGUGCCCAAAUUCCUGACACCUUGAGGCAAAGCACUUUUUGAUCUGGGUUAAAAUUUAGAGUAUACUUUUUGUGCACUCAGAGAAAAGCCAAGAGCUCAGGCGCAUGUUCUUUUGCAGCUGCUUGGGUAUUGAGCAAAGUUAUUCAGCCCUAUUUAUCUAUUUGGAAAAUGUAUAUAGCUGCGUGGAGUCACCUGUGAGUGAGCGGGUAGCAAUAUAAAAUUUCCAAAUAAAAUAAAUAAAUAAGACUGACAGUUCCGUAUACAUCUUUGCUUCCAUAAAGCACCCUGCCCAAUUUCACUUCCUUUUCAUUUAGCACUUCCAGUGAAGGCUGGCAUUCUGUGGAACCACCCUCUAGCGUUCUAUUUUUUUACAAAAAUAACUCUAGAUUCAAUAGAUAUUUUCAUUUCUGUUCUUGGAAAAUAAACAUGGUGGCCGCAUGUCAUUUCUUUUUCUUUCUUUUUUGGAAAAAAAUGUAUCUAUUGGCUUAGGAAAGAAAAGAUCCAAUUGGGCACCACAUUUUGUGGAGCAUAAUAAGAACUAUCCUCAUUGGCCGUGUCCACAGCAGAAGCUGUUUUGAAAAUAGGCGAGCCUCUAGUAGCCAUUUCAAGGGAGCUCCCUCCAAGAUGUUCAGAAUUCCAAAUAUGCAAACUAGCCAACACAUUGCCUAACCUAGUCUGAUUUAUCGGAUCCUCUCCACUUGAGUCAGAUAAUCAUUCCCAUUCUUCCUAGUCAAUAGGGAUGAUAGGAAUAUUUCUAUACAAUCUGGAAGGAGUUAGAAGUGGGGAAGGCUGGUCUAAUUAAUUGUUCAACUUCCUUGGGAAUAAAAAUGUGCUUCUGACUUGGAGUUUUUCCAACACCAGUUAACUCAACUAGUAAAGAGCUCUUGUCUUGCUUUCUAUUAAAAGACAAGAGGCGUGUAUUAAGCUAGACCUUUGGUUACUACUCCCAAUUAUUAUCCACCCUAAGCUACUACAACUGUUAGGGGUUUCAGGAAGAGGUCACACUCAGCAAUAUUGGCUAAAGCCAGAAUUUCUGCAUACUAAACAAACAAUCUUCUGCUGAGUUCUGGCCUUUUUUUUUUUUUUUCAAAAGAUAGAGAAUGAAAUGAAAGCUAUAA